AGCCCCGCGCGGGAAGGGACCGGCCGAGCCCAGGCGCCCGGGGCUCCGCGGAGGCGCGGGGCGGCUGGAGCCGGCUGCCGGGGGCUCCCUGCCUGUAGGGCGGCUCCGUGGCGCUGGCCCGGCCGGGGCUUUCGUGGCGCUCGGGACCUGCCACAAACCAAAUGGUGCCCCGGGUGUGGAGCAUCUUUGGCGCCUCCCUCCGCUUGUUAAACUUUUGAAUACCUUAUUUUUUAUUACGUGUGCAGCCGUUUCACGACUUUGAGGCCCGAGCUACGUCCAUGAUUUAGGCCUGUCAUGUACCAGAUGGUGCAUUUGCACGGAAACGGCGCAUCAGGGUAAUGAAACAAAACCAGACCCCCACCCCCCGCCAGCAUGCACCCUAACCCAGCCCCGCAGCCACAUAGACUCCUGAAGAGGGAUGGGGAUGAGGGUGUGGGUAGGGAGGAUGGAGAUGAAAAGAAUGAAUGAAGUAACCAAUGUUGAUGGCCUCCAAAAUAUAAUCUGCUCCUAUGCAGGUUGGAAAUGGGAGGGAGGUCAGCGGCGUGGGGCAGCUGAAGAUUCUGGAGGUGGGGAUGUUCUGGACACUUGACCAAACCAUCAACAGUGUCACUUGGAUGAAGAGAACAGAUAGGUCAUGGUAGCAGUUACGGGAGGUGGCAUGUAUAUGCCAAGGGACCUGAGAAUGGGCCUGGAAUCCUUCAAAGUAUGGAGAGGGUCUUUGGUGGACCUGGAAAAGAGUUUAAAUCCAUCUAAAGGAAAGUUUUUGGACCUCCCUAAGAGCUCCCUAGGAAACCCAGACAGCUGUAGCCCAGAGUGAGGCUUUUGCUAGGAGUUGACGCUCAGCUAUUAUGGACUUGACCUGGUCACAGUGUUCUGCAGGGAGGUGCUCAAUAAAAUGAUUGGAUUUUUCACAA